UGCUUUCUCAUCAUACUAAAUGUUCCACUACAAAAUAUCAGUAUCACAUGCUCUUUGAACGAGAGCCGUAUGAAACAAGUGAAGAGAGACUGAGACAUGUGACAGCUGUGAUUGAUGAAAU